AUAUGAAUCACCAAGGGAUCUUAUUGAAAUGCAGAUUCUGAUUCAGUAAGUUAGGGGUGGGGCACAAGCUUCUGCAAUUCUAAUAAACUCCCAGGUGAUGACGCU
rnacentral:pre_miRNA from 1 species